GGCCGUGGCUAAACGGCUACGGCUCCCGCCUCAUAAGCGGAAGAUUUAGGGUUCGAUUCCCGACCGGUCU
rnacentral:tRNA from 1 species